AUUGAACGCUGGCGGCAGGCCUAACACAUGCAAGUCGACUUGUAACAGGAAACAGCUUGCUGUUUCGCUGAUGAGUGGCGGACGACUGAGUACUGUCUUGGGAACUGCCUGAUGGAAGGGGAUCUCUACUGGAAACGGUAGCUAAUACCGCAUAACGUCGUAAUAACAAAGAGGGGGACCUUCAGACCUCUUUCCAUCAGAUUUGCCCAGAUGAGAUUUGCCAGUAGGUGGGGUCACGGCUCACUUAGGCGACGAUCCGUAGCUGGAAGGAGAGGAUGACCAGCCACACUGGAAGUGAGACACGGUCCAGGCUCCUACGGGAAGGAGCAGUGGGGAAUAUGGCGGAAUGAGUGCGAGCCAGAUGCAGCUAGGCCGAGUGUAUGAAGAAGGCCUUCGGGUUGUAAAAUACUGUCUGCGGGGAGGAAGGGAGUAAAGAGAAUGCCUUAACACAUUGACGUUACCCGCAGAAGAAGCACCGGCUAACUACGUG
rnacentral:rRNA from 1 species